CAACAGUCCCCCCCCCCCCCAAUAACAUUUCUUGCCUCUCUGAAACACUUGGGGUAAUGUAGAUACAGUAUUUUCCUAAGUAUUUUCCCAAGCAAUUUUGCCUUGUCUAUGAGUGGUGAUGGAGAGGAAGGUCCCCUAAAUAUAUAUUUAAAGAGUGGGUUUGUAUUUUACAGAGCUGAGGAUAAAUAUAAAGCACUCUUCUGCUCUCCUGUUUAUGUUAGACUACAGUUCCAUGCUCUCCAACUCAAAUCCAAUGGCUAUGCUGUCUGAGGACUGGGGGGAACUGCAGAACUGGAGGGCAUAGGAGAAAGUAAGGCUGUGGCAGAAAGUCCUGCUGUUUUGCGAUUGUGUUACACAAGUUGGAAAGGACAAGGAGACUGAAAAGGAAACUGCCUUGAGAUUAUUUAGAAUCGGGUCUGAAUUUCUGAAAUAAUGCAAACAAGCAGUUAAUAAGGACAGUGAUCCUGCUGAUACAUGUUUUUAUUUCAGGUGCUCAAUUAGAGGGUGAGGUGGGGUGAGAUGGGGUGAUUGCCUGUCAUUGGUACCCUAGAAGCUGAUGCCUGUUUGGUUAAUUCUCCAGAAGCAGGUGAGCCACUGACUAACGCACAUUGUGCUGCUAUGUCCCCACUGUGCGUGUGACAGCGGCUAACCUGCUUCUCGGACAUCACUGUGUCUUCUUCAGUAACUCACCUUCUCUCUAGAAGUGCCUACGUCUUGGAGCCUGAUGACUGCCCUUCCAACCUGAAUGCAAUAAGGAGAAAGGUUUCUCUUAAAGAGUUGAAUGUCCACCUUUUAACAGCUUGUACAGCCAUGGCUUCUUAAAGAAAGUAGACUUGGCACUCAGAAUGCUUUUUCCCAUUGAGUGUAUUGGAAAGACUCAGAAUGAAAUGCAUUUGUUAUCAUUUUAAGCAGGCUGUUUUUUUCCAAGAAACUUUAGACUAGAAAAGGUCUGAAUUUAUUUGGAAUGGCUCAUGUUCUUCCAGUGAAAUGGUUAUGUGAUGAGAUCUAAUCUGCCUAGAAAGAUUAUAAAAUAACUAAGGAAUUGAACAUCCCCUCCCUUAAACAUGCACGUACAGAGAGCAUCUCAUCCAGUCAGACAGACAUUGUGUUCUUGAAAACUUCCAUAAAGGAGGUUUUAUUGAGUUUAAGAUCUGUCGUGAUACACAGUAAUGAGCAUAUUAGAGAAAUGUAUUCUUCAAACAGGUAAGGAGAUUCUAAUCUUUGGAGCAUUAAUCUCAAUUACCUUUUUUUAUAUGGAAGAUAUUUGUGGAGUCCUGCUCCUUCCUAAAUUCAUCUUCCUCCUAGAAUGAAUACUGUUCCUUCAUUUUGGGGAACAGUUUGCCUGAUGCUAUUGAAGCUAUAGUGGAAUCUAUCAAUUUUUGAUGAAAACAACAAUGCAGUUUUAAAUCAGUUAUUAAAUACUUCAAAAGUACGCAAAAACGUAGCUUUACAUUUGCUGUUUAAUUUUUCUUUCUUUCAAUGUCAUUUGCCAUAAAAUGUGUCUGCUCAGACAUGUAAUUUUUACUCAUCGCUCCUUUUUUCCGUAUAAUUUUACACACUGGAAAAUGGUUUAUUUUCACACAUUUUCUAUUUUAUACCAGAAUGUUAAGAGGAAUGGCUUGUGGUCGGUUUCAGCCAAUAUUUGGAAAAAUCCUCCUUUCCCUGGACCUCAUUUUGCAGCUGCUCUUCAACCAAGGGAAAAGGACUUUAUUCUGAACUCGUUUUCCUGGAAACAUAAAUGAAUCAGAAUAGAAAAGUAGCUGAAGGAUGACAUCCAGAAAACCUAUAGGCUGGUUGACAUCUGAUAUAGGCCAGUUGAGGAUAGGCCAAUUUGCCUCACAUGAACAGCAACAAAUGUAAUGGAAUUUAAGUGGAAAUAGCAUAAUUUAGAAAGCUAGUUGGUGUAGAGGUUAAGGCACCAGGUUAGAAACUGGAGGCUAUGAGUUCUAUUCUCGUGUUGGGCAAAAAGCCAGCUGGGCAAACUUGGCCAGUCAUUUCUCUCAGCCCGAGGAAAAGCUUCAGGGAAUUGUCUGGACAGUCUCUGAGAAUUGGGCACAAUUGAAUGGAAGAAAAAAAGCAUAACUUACUAAUAUGGCAACAUAUAUUGGGGAAAAGAUUCAUACAUUAUAAUUCAUAAAUUAUAAUUGGCAUUUGAACGUUAAUUAGACCAUAUUCAGACAAAUUCAGAGAGGGAGGAGGGAGGAGAGAACACCUAAGCAUCCAGUAAUGACACAGCUAAACUGGAAUGUCCAGUUUAGCUAAGUUCCCAACAUAAUUGUCUUCCAAAGUUCCCAAUGGAGGAGACUGUAAUGAUUCAUUAUUAAAAUGGUUUUAUUUUAUUUUCUCACAGUUUAUUUAUUCACAAUCCUGGGACAUUCAGGAAGGUGAUGUUGAAAAUGUUAAUACUGAGAAAAGAAAGGAGUGUGCAGAUGGAAGUACAGAUUAUUCUAAACAAGUAAUAGUUUAUCUGGUAUCUUUGAUUAAAUAAGAAUCUAGUUAAAAACCAUGCUGGCUUGUUUGUGGACAUUCCCAUAGGUAUCUGAAGACCUCGAAAAGGAAUUGAUGAUUUGCAGGCUAUAGAAAGUCUAUCCUACAGAAAGUCUGAUUGUAAAAAGCAGGUGCACAAAAUGUACCUUACACUAACUCAAAUAUUUUGCAACCUAUUUAUGUACAUUUUAAUAGAAAAUAGUGUUUUUGUGAGUUAUAGUGGAUCAUAGUCCUCAAAUUAGUGGGGCCUCUAGUUUUAUAUUUGCCAGUCAGCUUUGACUGAUCUAGAAUACUAAGCAAAGUCAGUCCUUGAUAUAUUUCUUAUAUUGAUUUAUAUAGCUACAAAUUUCAUAAUUACAGCUCUGGAUAUUGAACACUGAUUUAAAACCAACAUAAUAGUAGUAGUAGUAGUAGUAGUAGUAGUAGUAGUAGUAGUAGUAGUAAUAAAUAGACAACAUUGACACAAUACUUUAAUGUCAAAUACCAUUUAAUUCCUAUCCUGAAUCUCACAUACUUAUGCUCAAAAAAAGUUAAAUGACUUCCUAUAAAAGUUUUUAAAUUUCAUAAUUUUGAGAGAGGGAUGUUUCUAAACCUCUUGCUUAUAUCUGUACUGAGCAGCAACACUUAUUUGUUAGAUUUAUGUUGUAUUUUUCCUUCAGGACCUCAAUGUGGCAAUAGUAAUAUCAGUGGUAAAUGCUUACUAAUCUAUUGUGUGAUUAUCAGCAUGUUAAGAACGGAGGUAAUCAAUAACUUUGUAUUGUAAAUGUGAAAACUCUGGUAACAGGAGUCAAACCCACAGCAAAUGCUUUCAGGAUUGAACUGUAAGCUCUUCAAGCAAAACAGAAAAAAAAAAUUAUGCAAUCUGAGAAGCAGAUAGGAGGAUGCUUUCACUCUGAAAAGAAUCUGCAUUGAAGGAUGUUCAAUUUCAAAUGUCUUUUUUCACUAAGAUGCUCUUGUUUUCCUUCCCUUUAUUUUUCUGGAGAAGGCAGCUGGAGGAUGAAGCAAAGAUGAAUGAAAUAUUCUGGUUUCUAAUGUAUUCUGGAGUCUGUAAGUAUAACCAGCAUGAUCCCAGGAGUCUAUAAAUAGCAUUUUGGGCCGAGAGCACCAGAACGGCACAUGUUCUUUACAUAAAAUGUAAGCACAGCCUUAUGUAAUACUUCUUAAAACUAGUUGGCAGGAAAUUCCACCAGGAGAGAGCACUCAGUCAUCUAGAAACAGCCAGAAUCUUCUGAUCCAGAUCCACCAAGAUUGGCUGAUGCUGCUAAAACCAUCUGAGUAUAUAGAGUACCCUCCAAGCAGAUUGACUGAAAAGGGUUUUGUGGCCUAGUAGAUAUAAACUGCCCUGUCAUAGUGAGGCCUCUGUCCCAGGAACCAAACCUAGGUGUUUUUUCUUUUCUACCUCUCCCAUCCAGUCUAGAAUCUACCAGCUUUCCCCCUCUCCAGGGAACCAGCUUAGUGAAAAACACAUUCCUGGCCAGCAUGUGAUUCUGCAUUUAAUCUUAGCUGUCUUUUUGGAGAAGAAGGGUUACACCUGAGAGCAACAAGAUAGCCAAUCAUAGUGAUUGAAUGCUCCCAUAACUUUAUUUGAAUAAUAAAGUUUUUCCAGGGGGCUAUUUCCAUUAAAAUGCAGCAAAAGAAUAGUGAAACAUAGUUCCCUAUACAGUGUGCUAUAUAAUAAAUCUGCUGUGCUUCAAAUUGCGAUAUGACUCAAACUGCAAUGACUAGUUUGACACAUUAUAGUAAACCAAAUGAUAAUUUGCUUGUUUGUUGCUUAAUGUGGUACAUGAAUGCAAACAUUAUGGUUUGUAAAUUAUCUUGGAUGCUUUAUUAUGUAAAACCAGUUAAUUAUCUUUUAUUCUGUAAACUAUGGUUAAACAAAAAAGUGGUUUAGCAUUAGCUAUAUGUAAAAUAUUUUGUUAGGGAGAGCUCUAAAAUAUUGCUUUCUUUCUUCAAACUCUGCCAAUUCCAUCAUUUAAGGGAUCUAGCAUUUGGAAGGAAAGUUAAUCUUUGAACCAGCAAUAAUUCCGGAAUGAAACAGGCCAUUCCUUGAACAAUAGAAUUUGCCCACCUCCAUCAUGUCGAGUGAAGACUGCCUUUGUUUUUUCCACCUCUGAUCUACCGAGUCCAGGGUGUCUUCCAUUUUGCCUUUCAUCUCAGCAUGAACAAACCCAAUUUUAUGUUGCUUCAGUCUAUUACCAGGAACUGCCUAGAUUCUGUUUUCCAGGGAAAGUUAGUAUCACUUUUUCCUCUACGUACAUAGAUUUUUAUGGUCAUUUUAUUAAAUGUUACAAUUAUAAAGACUAAUAAUAAAAUAAAAUAAUAAAAACUUUAAAAAGGGAAAAUAUAAAAAAUAAAGUGCAGAAAAGAAAAAAUAGAAAAUAUAAUAAAGAAAAUAAAUUUUGCAUAUAAGAAUUACUUCAUCACAAAUAAACAAUUUUGGUAAGUUAUCACUUUCUCCUUAAAUACUACAAAUGAUCUUCCCAUAUCUCAUAUAUAGAUGUUUUCUAUGAAGCGAUAAUUAAGGGGAACAUAUUUCGGUCUGUGAGCUGCUAAAACAUAAACUUGAUGGUGCAUGAAUAAACUACAGAAUUAAAUUGCUGGGGAUAUUGUUGCUAUUCCUUUUGCCCUAGAAUAGCAGAAUUCUGUAACUUGGCUUUUUUACGCACCCGUGUAUUUGCUGAGAUUCCAAAGUUGGUUAAAAUCCUGUAUUGUUAAGCUGGAGGGAUGGGAAUUUGGUAAUGAAUCAUCAUUUGUAUGUUUAACUUGCAUCAUCAGUAAAGAAGCAAUUCCAGUAGUUGUCACCUCAUUUUUAUAGCCCCAUUUCUACUCAAAUAUUACUGCUUGUGGAAUUCUAAUACUAGAGUAAGGGCUUCACUAAAGCCAAGUUUUUAUUUAAUUGGUGAAUAGUCUCUUGUCUGAACUCUUUCUUUGUGUGUGGGUGUAUGUGUGUGGGUGUGGGUGCGCAUAUGUAUAUAUAGGCAAAUGCAAACAGGAUAAACAGUAAAAUCUCUUUCAAACCUGGCUUGCCUCUUAGUGAUUCAAUAGACAUUUUGGGGUGUAAUCAAUGCAGACUUGCUGUUGCCUUCUUCUAAGAUGUUUGUUAAAUUUCCUAAUGCAGUUUAUAGUUCUGGUAUUUCUGAACGUUUUCCAGCCAAGUGUACUAAUUAAGUAGGUCCAAUUCUGUGUGGCUUUUUGAGAGCAGUCAAGAUUGACUAAAUUUCAAUAAAGGAGAAUAUUUGAGGGAUCUUUGGUGUUCUCUGAGCUUGAUUGUUUUCUUGCAGAUGUUUCAUUAUCCAAAUUAGAUAAUAUCAUCAGUGCAUUGGCUAAAUUCUGCCACCUAGCUGGGUGUAGUAAGAAGUAGUUCAAAAUUAAUACUUACCCGGUUGGCAUGCCUUGUAGCUCAGAUAGUUCUUCAAAUUCUGGAAAUUUUGUGUUGGGUUUCGAACAACACAUUUUUAAAAUAUUUCUGCUGACCUCUGUCAUGAAACUAUAUAUUUGUACUUCAUAAAUCAAAUUGUUCCGUUCAGUUUUCAUCUACUUCAUACAGUGAUAUAUUAAUUUCUCAUGCUGCCUUUUUUCCAUUUCAAUCUUAAUCCAGUUUGUUGGUCUACUGAUUAGAUUUUACACUGUUUAUUGGAAUGAAUAGUCCUUUUCUUUCAUUUCUACAAUCCCUUGUCUUAAGUACUUUCAUUUUCCUUUUUAUUCCAGCUUCCUUUUUUCAUUCAAUUUUGUGAUAUCUUCCAUGACACUUUUUGUGAUUUCAUAAAAGUGAAUCGAAACCAUUCAUCCUCUCGGGGAUAGAUAACUUAGUUUCCCAGUGUUUUAGAAUGUACUUAUCACUGUCAUUAUCUGUGCUGAUUAGGAUAGAUGGGAUUGAAAUCCUCAGCAUUGAGAAGACACAAUACAACCGAUCUCUGCUCUCUCUUCUCUCCAUAUUAUUUCGAAUUGCCUGGAGAAAGUGUCUGAUUUUAUUAGUUUGCUUUUUUACAGUAUAUAUUCUUUAGAGGACAUUUCUAUAAUCUGCCUUUUUAAAUUAAAAUAUAAAAUUGAUCCUCAGGACCUGAUUUCCUAAACUAUAAUGUAGAAUUUCACCUUAUGGUAGCAACUAUCUAAAAUAGUGUUCUUUUGUAUUACAGUUAAAGGGCUACUAUUAAAAAUACUGAGUUCGUUAAAUCCUAAUAACAGUGUUGUGUGGCACUAAGGGUUUCAUUGCUGAAAAAAAAAAAAGCUAUGAUAGUGAGCUUGUGUUCUUGAACCACAUCCAGUGGCAUUUUCUAAAAUUAAGUAUAUAAGCAUGAGUGUCUUGAAAAAAGACACUUGAAAAUGGCUGCACAAUAAAUGGGUUCCUUGGGAUAAGAUUGAAUUGCAAAAGGCAUUUUUAGAAGCUAAAAAGCAAACUGGGGAGGAAUGGCCUUUAAUAAGAGCCAUUUGAUAACCUUUUGAAAAACUGAUUUUUCUUGGUAUGGAGUACUGCACACUAGACAACAGGAUGAGGGGGAUAUGUUGCCAGAGGAAGGACUGUCAGUAAUAUUUCUUGGUUGAGUCAGAUCAGAGCUCUCCUGCUUUACCAGAUACUUCCCUGCCCUCAGAACAGCAUAUUUUGGAAUACCUGCCAGUUGCUGAUAUCAUCGACAUGGCUUAAAUCUCACAGAUUUAAUGUGCUUUUAAAAUUCCACACCUGGGGAAGCCUGCUAAUCAGUUGGCUUGCAGGUACAAGUUUGGGCCUAUGGUUAAAUCUAGCCAUCUGUCCAGACCUUCUGCUAACUACACCAGCGCUGUGCUUGGCAGAUGGUUUCUUCCUGGCUGAGGAGUUCAAAAAGGGGAAGGUGUCAAAGCCAGAGGGUUUAAGUACUGACAUUGUUUAACACACCCUAUGCACCCAAAAUCAGGAUUUCCAUCUUGCACACCUAGCUAGAACUGAGAUUAUAGAAGCAAGACAAUGAUCAGCAGCAAGGAAAGCAAAUUUAAUGUCUGUAUGUUAUAUUGGCUGAAAACUGCGUAUAGUAGGUAGCACUAACUGAAAGUUCAGAAUCUUGUAAAAAAAUCUGCCUUGCCACAAUUUUCCUCUUCAUUUCCUAUCCAGUCCUUAGGAGCCGUUUAAAGUGGACAGAAGUGCCCCCUUUUGCUUUAGUUGAGAAACACUGCUUUAGUUGUUGCGAGGAAGAAUAGCAAACUCUCCCCUGAAGUGAGCAGUUUUCUCUCAUGACAUAAAAUUUUAAUUAGAAAUAACCCGGCAGCCUUGAAAUGGGAACAGCAAGCAGCAGAAGUCAAAUUAAUAAAAUAUUCAAUGACAGGAAUGUAUUAUUGAUACAGCCUAUGUGCCUAGUUUUGAAAAUUCUGUCAAAGCACAUGAAGCUGGAAGACCUUCAUCUCUUCGCUUGUAGGACCAAAACGCUGCUCAAAGAGAGCUGGCACUUAACAUUUAGUGAGUUUCCCAGCUGGAUCAUAAUCACUCAUCUGAUCCAACCCAUAAUGGCAAUCAUAAUGGGAGGUCUUGGGGGCAUCACCUAAGGAUAGACAUUUCAAGCAGAGACUGGAAUGUAAUUAGCAUUGGUGCUGAAUCUUACUGUUUCUACAUAAAUAUUAUUGCUAGGCAAUCUCAAAUUGCUUGAGUUGAAAAUGAUUGUUAUUCUCCAAGAAGCUGGUCAACUUCUCUUGACCAGCUGAAGAUGCAGCGUUUAAAGAUGCUAUGUGACAGAAGCAGGAUGUUAUACUUGGUUCCUUAGAGCUCUUGAAAACAUCAUCAGUGUUAGUGCAUCACAUUCCUGAAUUGAAUUUCCACUACAUGCUAAUCUAUGCUUGAUUUAACCCUGGCUUACUGAAUAAUCUACAGCUGUGAUUCUCAACCUUUUCUUCACCCUGGACUCCCUUUAAAUACCUCUUGUGGCCAUGGACCCUCAAGACUUAACUCAAGAUUUAAAUCAUAAUAUUUCUUCAAGCCCUCACGGACCCCCUGUGAUGACAUUGUGGAUACCCCCAGCUUCCAUGGAUCACAGGUUGAGAAAUACUGAUCUACACUAUACUAGCUGGGCUGGCAUGACAUGCUAAAUCAUAAGCCAUGGUUUUCAAACUUCAGAGCUGACUUUAUAAAGUCAAACUGCUUAUUUAGUAUACAGUGUGGUCCCUGGUUGAGAAUGAAUUCUGUACCCUAACUCUGUCUUUAAUCCAAAUUUAUAUUUAAGCUGAAACUCGUACUUUCAAAUGGACUGCCUAUUAUUAAAAUGGCAGAUGUUGUUCUUCUACAAGCUGACAAAAUGCUUGAGCAAUGCUUUCAGGAACCACUGAAAACAGCUUGCAUUAAUGCACGUCUUCACUUCAUUGGCUAGAAGAAGAACACUAUCUGCCAAAUAGGCAGCCCAUUCAUAUCUAGGGUUUGCCCUUACAUUGGAUGUUCUUAACCAAAGGAUUGCUUGUACUAUGUGAACCUAUUUUUGUGUUCUUCAGGGAAAAAAGGAGAGAGUAUAAAGGCAACAGCUGCAAGGCACAUAUGAAAAGUGUCUUUAUGCAGAGAAUUUUUCUGCAGCAUCAAUCUUUGGACAUUUGGCUUAAGAGUGGCUCUAUGACUGGUGGCAAUUUCUGCAGUUUUAGAGAGGGGUUCUCUUAGCUUUAUCUGGAGUUGAAUUUGGAUUUUUUUGCAUGCCAAGCAUGAACUUCAUCACCAAAUAAGAAUAAAUAAAACAUAUUUUAUUCUUCCGAACAGUGUAUGAAAUACAGGUAGUCCUCGCUUACCAGCUAUUUCAUUUAGCAACUGUCUGAAGUUACAACAGUAUUUUAAAAAACAGUUUUGUGGUCAAUCCUCAGAUUUACAACGGUUACAAUGUCCUGCAGUCAUAUGAUUGCCAUUUGCAUGCUUCAUAACUGGCUUGUGGCAAACAGACUUAAUGGAGAACAUGGAAGUAAAAUCAAAAGUCACAGUCAUGUGAUGUCUCACUUAACAAUCAAAUGGGAAGUAAUGCAAGCUUGUCAUGAUCGUGUAACUUUCCAUUUAGCAAUUGCUGUGCUUAGUGAUGGAGUUGCCAAUCCAAUUGUGGUUGCUUAACAAGAUCUAGUCGUGUUACAGUGAGCAUUUCUUUCAUGAAAGUAUACAGAAUACAGUAUAUUGAUAUAGUCACUAGUAAUAUUAGCUUAAGCAAAAUAAACAAUGCAAAAAUUGUUGUGAAGUUGUUGAACUUCACAAAGGCAUGUUCUGCCUAAAGGCCAAAGUUAAAUUUUGGACUUUAAUGCCCAGAACAUAUCCCACCUCCUCCUGUCUUUGUCAAAAAGCAUUGGGAGACUUAUGGAGCAUUGGAAUGUAUUCCUUGCCAGAUUGUAGCAAGAAGGAGAAAUUGUCUGAAUUUCUCUGGAGGAUGUAGGAGCUUAUGCAGUUCUUCUGCCUCCCUGAAGCUCAGUAAAAGUACCAUGCCUUGUAAGCCUCCAUAAGCUAGGAGGAUCAAGGGAAUAUAAUGGAGCUGUUAGAAUAAUACGCUAGGAUAAUGUGAUUCAAUACAACAUAAGGCAUUGCUAGGAGUUGCAACAUAUUUAUGGAGCAUACUUGUUUUCUGCUUGUAUAAAUGUUGGAUUUCACCCAAUCCUUUUUACUAAAGUGAACCUAAUAAAUAUGUAAUAUUUCCUCUUUGCUAAUUUCUUCCUAUCUUGUAUAGAGGCUUCAUUAACUAAUACAGUGAUUAUUUCAUAAUUUAAUGAAGGGUGCUGUAAUUCUGCUUUUAUUACGUAUUUUAGUAUUUUUAAUUAUUAUGUGUUUUGUUGAUUUGAACCAGUCUAAAAAUACUUUUUAAAAUUUGUAAGGCUGUUUUGUGAUUGGUUGAUACAGCAGCAAAGAGAAGGGAGAUUUUAAGGAAAAAUAAAAAAGGGUUACCAAAUAGUAUGUAUUUAUUGAGAUAUGGUUUCAUUGUUAGAGAUACCAGACAAUCUGUGCCUCUAAGAAUUGUGCAUGCUGCUCCUUAAUAGCCAUCACAGAUGACAAAUAACAAAAUAAUGUGAUUCAUGAAAAUAUUUCUUCUAGUCAGAGAAGGGCAAUGCUAAUGAAGGCAGUAUCCAAUCCUUCCAGCAAUAUAUUUAGUAUGGGUAGGAGAAAACAAGGGAAGAGGAAAUUGCUUCCUGGAAGAUGACAUAAUUUCAAAGCCAUCCAGAGGACAAAGCAUGAAUUUUUCUGUUUCCCCCCCCAAAUUUCAGCAGUUGUGCCUUGCCUUUCCAUUAGAUUUAGAUUAGUUCUUAAGUCACACCACAGGGUGAGUUUGGUAAUUUUUCAACAGAAGAGUCUGUAUUGUGUCUCAUGCUAAACUAAAAUAAUAUGGCAAUGAGUUAUCUGAAAAUCAAGCCUAAUAGCUUACUAGUUCUCCAGGCUUGUUUAUACACGUAGCAGAAAUAUAAAUAUUAAUCAGAAACAGGCUGCUGAACAGCUAUAGAAAUAAUCAAUGAGAAAGAUUAGUAAACCUCUUUGACCAAUAAGGAAGGCGACUUGCAAAAAAUUAUUUAACUGUGGUCAGUUUGGGGUUCAUAUUGGUAACAGCCUCGAUCUUUUUCAGAAAGAGAAAGCCUUUUUCUGAAAACAAAAUAGGUCUUAAAACUAGCCGUUAAGUUGAAAUAUAAAAUGGAAAUCAGCAGCAAAAGUCAGAUGCCUACUUGUCAUGACUUAUUGGAAAGAUAAGAUAGAAAUGUAUAUUCAAAUAUUUAUACAUUACAGCCACUCCUUGUUUAUGACUACCUCGGUUAAUGGCAUUCGCUAAUAUGACAGAAAUUUUAAAAAAUCAUUUUCCAAUCAGUGUGUGCAUUUACAACCAAGUUUCAUGAGCCUAACCAACAAAAGCCUUCAGUGCGAAACUGAUUAAGGUCUAGUUGUUUUCAAGAAGCAACAGGAACUAGUCUAGAUUCUAAUGAAUUAAGGUCACAAAACUUUGCUUGUUAACUCGUGGCUAGCAUUUUUGAGGGAAGUGCUAUGUUGAAGUUUUUGGAAUGUAGUAGUCCGAGAUACUUUGUGUGAGAGAAAGAGGGUGAAGACAGCCCCUCCCUAAUAGUUCUCAGAGCAUAUGGUUGAUGCAGAUAAUGAUGUACUUCAGUUUGGCAGAAUUCUAUUUAUAGGUGCAGGACAAUAAAGAACCCAGCUUGGAACAAUCACCAUGUGUCUUUCUUGGUUUUGGGGCCUAACAGUUGCAGAGAAAAGCACUUCUGGAAAGAUAGAUUGUGUAGAGGGAAAUUUUGGGGGGGGGGGGAGCAGAUCAGGCAAAGGACCUUGUAAAAGAGAACUUUAUCUAGAUGAAAUAGCUGCAAUCAGUGAUCUUUUGCAGUCUCUCUUUAUCAACCCCCUCCCUUUAUUAUGUUUAUGAAUAAAAGCAACAAACUUACCUAAUAUUUGUUCUUCUGUUUUUCCCACAACAACAACCCUGGGUUGGACUGAGGGAAAGUGACUGGCCCAAAAUAAUCCAGCCAGCUUUUUUUUGCUAAAGGCUGGAUUAGAAUUCACACUCUCCUGGUUUCUGGCGUGGUACCUUAAGCACUAGAUCAAACUGGAUCUCUAUAUACUACCCAAAGCCAUAAAACUAGGGUGUUUAGAAGAAUUGAGAAAUAUUCAUUUUGAGAAACGUACAGUAUAUGAAUGUAGAGGUUUCUGCUUUUAGCAUUAUCAAGUCUUUGUGUAACAUCUGUUUUUUUUAGUUUGUUUUACUCCUGGUUAUUUUUAAACUGCUCUUUUAUUGAAAUAAGACAACUUCAAGGAUGAGAAAAUUACAGAACAGAAAAAAGUAAGGACUAAAGCAAAUGAAAGGAUUAACUGUAAUCGGUAUUUGUACCCAGAAAAUAUGUCACAUAAACUUAAUAAAAACAUUGACAUAGGUAAGAAA